ACUAGGCAAAAUGGUGCCGUAACUUCGGGAGAAGGCACGCUGGUGUGUAGGUGAAGUCCCUGCGGAUGGAGCUGAGACCAGUCGAAGAUACCAGCUGGCUGCAACUGUUUAUUAAAAACACAGCACUGUGCAAACACGAAAGUGGACGUAUACGGUGUGACGCCUGCCCGGUGCCGGAAGGUUAAUUGAUGGGGUUAUCCGUAAGGAGAAGCUCUUGAUCGAAGCCCCGGUAAACGGCGGCCGUAACUAUAACGGUCCUAAGGUAGCGAAAUUCCUUGUCGGGUAAGUUCCGACCUGCACGAAUGGCGUAAUGAUGGCCAGGCUGUCUCCACCCGAGACUCAGUGAAAUUGAACUCGCUGUGAAGAUGCAGUGUACCCGCGGCAAGACGGAAAGACCCCGUGAACCUUUACUAUAGCUUGACACUGAACAUUGAGCCUUGAUGUGUAGGAUAGGUGGGAGGCUUUGAAGCGUGGACGCCAGUCUGCGUGGAGCCAACCUUGAAAUACCACCCUUUAAUGUUUGAUGUUCUAACGUAGGCCCCUGAUCGGGGUUGCGGACAGUGUCUGGUGGGUAGUUUGACUGGGGCGGUCUCCUCCCAAAGAGUAACGGAGGAGCACGAAGGUUAGCUAAUCCUGGUCGGACAUCAGGAGGUUAGUGCAAUGGCAUAAGCUAGCUUGACUGCGAGCGUGACGGCGCGAGCAGGUGCGAAAGCAGGUCAUAGUGAUCCGGUGGUUCUGAAUGGAAGGGCCAUCGCUCAACGGAUAAAAGGUACUCCGGGGAUAACAGGCUGAUACCGCCCAAGAGUUCAUAUCGACGGCGGUGUUUGGCACCUCGAUGUCGGCUCAUCACAUCCUGGGGCUGAAGUAGGUCCCAAGGGUAUGGCUGUUCGCCAUUUAAAGUGGUACGCGAGCUGGGUUUAGAACGUCGUGAGACAGUUCGGUCCCUAUCUGCCGUGGGCGCUGGAGAAUUGAGGGGGGCUGCUCCUAGUACGAGAGGACCGGAGUGGACGCAUCACUGGUGUUCGGGUUGUCAUGCCAAUGGCACUGCCCGGUAGCUAAAUGCGGAAGAGAUAAGUGCUGAAAGCAUCUAAGCACGAAACUUGCCCCGAGAUGAGUUCUCCCUGAGACUUUAAGUCUCCUGAAGGAACGUUGAAGACGACGACGUUGAUAGGCCGGGUGUGUAAGCGCAGCGAUGCGUUGAGCUAACCGGUACUAAUGAACCGUGAGG
rnacentral:rRNA from 1 species